UGUUAGAAGCUCAUGGCUGACUACCC
rnacentral:piRNA from 1 species